CCCCUCUCAGGGUCGCACCUGAAGAGUUUCCAGUACUCUGCCGGUCUCGGCUAUGGGAGGGAGAGAAAAGCAGAGGGAUACCCAUCCCAUUCCUAGCUUGGGCAGUGGCUGGCGAGUGGAAGGCAAUGUGCUACAAGU